AGGAAACCAUGACUAUCUGUUGACCAACGAGCUAGUCAACUAGAGGCUUACUAGGGACGUAUUGUGGUCUAUGUAUUCACACGUGUAUUACGAUUUCCGGAUAAUACAAUUAUAGCAUGAAUAAAAGACAAUUAUCAUGAACAAGGAAAUAUAAUAAUAAUCCUUUUAUUAUUGCCUCUAGGGCAUAUUUCCAACAAAUGAUGGACUCCAAUCCACAGGGACUCUGGCUGGAACAUUUAUCCUAGCUCGCGAACACCGGAACCACACCAAACAAGCAAGCAAUCCAGGCAUGACCUGCAAACUGGCAUGACAUGCCAGGUUAGUACAUUGAAUGUACUUGCAAGCUCAAAAUAACCAAAAGCAGUCAAGACAAAUAACAACAUGGCAUUAGCAGGUUAAAUCAAUCAUGAGCAUGAGACUAGCAGAACAACAUGGCAUGCACAAUUGAACAUGAUGCAAUUUUAGCAUGACACGAUCAUAUGAACAUGAUGAUACUACAUGCAACAGGUUAACAUAAUCUUGCACCAACUUACUCUGCUCGGGUUACCUUGUAACCAAAACAUGCAUUACUUACCACCGUGGACAUGACAUGAUCAUCUCCGGAUCAAAUCAAGCUUGGUAUAACAGUACCGUAGUAAUCAUUACAUGACCACAAGGAGCUUGACCUUUACCCGUGAUUCUCACAUAACACCACAAAUAUCCAACACUCGGUAUCCACGAUACCAUGGUGAUCCUCUCACGAUCACAUAAAGAUCAACCAAGUUCUUUUAUCAUCAAACCAAGGUUGUUAUUAAACACAUCAUUAUUAUUACUGUUGACCCAUAGUGUGACCGACUUCGAACUGGGCCCAUAUCCGCGGGCGCGGCUAUCGAUAGAUUUAAACACACACUCUGCAGAAGUUAGCACACUAUACCCACACCACGGAACCCAUGGCCUUGCACUCCCAUUCGGGUGGACCAACGACAUUCUGACAAAACCGGUCUACUGCCAUGACACUCCCCCGACCACUCCGACCAACUCCCCUUUGGGCUAAGUCAUGGGUGGCCCCGUGCCUACCAAAGGCAUCAACGGCCACCGUCGUGGCAAAAUAAACAGUCCCAAACGGGUACGUGAGCUCAAAACCAAACAUGGGCACACAAGGCUUAUGCCGUCCUACCCGUCCAAGGUAGCGCCCACGCAUAACCUUCCCUCGUUGGAGGCACCGGUGAGAGGCAUGACAAUAGACCUAGUUAGGACCUUCCCAUAAAGGCAAAUGUGGUUGCACUGGUCAGCUCGAUUCAGCGGUACCAUGACUAAGCCAACAAUUGUUCAAAUUCAAUUAAGUUCGGUUAAAAUUGAAUGCAAUAAGCUGAGUCAUAUUAAAAUAACAUGAUGCAACAAUAACGCAUGAUAAGAACAUGAGCAUGGAUGUGCAACCAUAAUAAAUCAUUGAGCAUAACAACAAUGAAGCAUAUAUUCGACUGAUCAUGGCAUACUGACGAGCAUGGAUAACACAAGCAUAACUCUACCAUAAGCAUCGCAUGACCACUUGUAUCAUAAAUAAAUACCAUGCAAGAACAUAACAGCAAUACUACCAGGUGAGCAUAAACUAGCUAAAUGCAACAAAAUAUGCAUAUCAAUGGUACUCGGUAACAGACGAUAGACAUGCACCGAAGAACAUAACCGACACCAACAUGAACUACUAGCAAGCAUGAACAUAUGAAAGUAAUACUAGUAGGUAGAUCAUGAUAACCGAGUGCAAGACAACAUAGCACGGCGGUAACCACCGAUCCAUAAGCAUAACCGAAAUAACGACAACAGUAGCAAAACAAACAGACAAUAAUCAAAGAUUCAAGUUGAAAACCAAUGCUACUGCAUGGCUAUCAUGCAAAUGGUGGUUGUGGCUUGCCUGGGGUGACAGAGACUCUGGGAAAAAGUAUGGUGAUGCCGCAGAAACGAAACGUCGGACGGUUCUCUCUCGAAGGGGGUUGAUUAUAGGCAAGGGAAAAAUGGUCAUUUUCACUGUGGGAUCACCUAGUAAAAAUGUUACCAACAGAAAUAUCUCAACGAGAUGAAGACAUGAGCGUUGGUUUCACCUCGAUCGGAGCUACAGUUGAAAAGUUCUGAGGGGUUGAACACCAGGGACCAAUCUGUAAAGUUUUCCCCAUAAACAGGUCCCUGAGUGGAUAAGGCAGAAACGUAUUUAGAGAAAUACGCUUUCAGAACAAAGAAAGCGUAUUCUUGGCCGCAGUAGAGAGAAAUAUGCUUUCAUAGAAGGGAAAGCGCAUUCUUUCUGAAGCAUUACAAGAAUACGUUUUCAUAAAAAGAAAACAUACUUAGCAAAGUACGUCUCCACUUAAAACACCUGGGUCCGGGGCUGGGUCACUUACGCAUGGGGUUGGGCGGGGUCCACUGGCAGGAGGGAGGGGGCACGGGCGUCGUCGUCUUCCUCCUCCCUCUGUCCCGGUCGAGACAGAGGAGGAGCAGGGAAGGGGCGAUGCCGUCGAGGGGCCCAGCCGGCUCAGGUGGCCUCCGGCCACGAUGAGCACGCCGGCGGGUGUGGGGCGGCCUGCAACACCCAUUCAGAGGCCAAGGAGCGCGCGGGGAUCAAAGGAGGUCGUGGGGCUGGAGGAGCACCACGGUGGCAGAGGCGAACGGGGCGGCGGUUGUUCUGGCGAUGCAGGCGAUCCCCAACGAGGUGGAGUAGAUGGGGCGGGCCACCGGAGUGUGGAGGAGACACAUGUGACAACGGAAGGGAGAGAGGACCGCCGGAUGGCUCGGGACAGGGAGGAGCAGAGAGGCAGGAGGCAGCCUGGCUAGCGGGGCACGCAGCCAGAGUGGCUUCGGCGAGGGGGAGACGGGGUAGGGAGGACCGCGGGGAAGAGAGGGAGUUCGUGGAUAGGUUGGAACGGUGAGGGGAGGACUAGGCACACCGGGGAGGAGCAAACUCCGGCGAUGGUUGAGACGAGCACGACGAACUCCGGCGAGAUGUGGUCGCUCUGGUGGUCGGGGAGGCUUGGGG
rnacentral:lncRNA from 1 species